CUGGUGGAGAUAUGCUGCUCUAUACGUGCUAAAAGUACAGUGAUUAUUUACAUGGAGUCUGGUGGACAUAUGCUGCUCUAUACACGCUAAAAGGAUUAUUUACAUGGAGUCUGGUGGAGAUAUGCUGCUCUAUACGGGCUAAAAGUACA